AUGAGUAACAUGGAUCCAUUAGAACAGAAGAAUGAUCAGAUGUCCAAGGAUGGUCUCGAGUUAGAUAAGGAAACCAGAUUAAGGACACUUACCGAAAAAGCUCAAAUUGAAUAUGACCAAACGGUUACAAACUACUUUUCAAAACUUUCAACAUUGAAAAGAAACGUGGAUUAUGAAAUCGGAACUUAUAAAUCUGAAGAUCAAACAAAAGAAUCAAUAUCCGUGUGCCAAAAAAGGAUAGAAAAUUCACUUGACAAAUACCUCAAUAUGGCAGAAGAAAUCUCGCAAUAUCUCAAAAGGAAAAACACGGCAGAUAGCCUUCAAGAACUCGAAAAUCACGAAUCGGUGUAUACUAAUGUAGAACUAUCCGCAGACGAAGUAUUUCGAGAUAUACAAAGGAUACAACAAAGGACUAAAACAAAAUCUGUUAAAUCAGUUAGAUCAAAUGGACGAUCGUCAGUAGCAUCAUCAACCACGAAAAUGAAAGCUAGAGCUGAAGCAGCAAAAGCAUCAUUAGAAUUCGCAGCUAAGGAAGCCGAACUUAAGAAGGCAGAUGCAGAAAUACAGCGAAAACAGAUGGACAUUCAAGCAGAUCUAGAAUUUCUUAGUAAGCAAAAAGAAGCAGCUGUAGCAUAUGCAGAGUACAAAGCAGCUAUGGAAGACGAUGAUUCACAGCAUGAUGCCAAGUCAUUACAAGGAAUACCUAAACAAGACGAGUUAGAUCGAACUAGACAGUACGUCGAAAGUCAUAGAAAUGUUACAUUUAACAGUCAGAACUUCCGUGAUAAUCCGGUUCACAGCAAUACUCACUUGGGCGAUCAUACUAGUGCUCCAUUUAUCCCAAGUACCCACCAGGAUCAAAUGCCUGUAUCGGGACCUGUUGAAACUCACGAUACGAACAACCCUAGUUUGAGCGAAUUUUCGCGAUUUCUAUUAAAGAAAGAUCUUUUGAUGUCGAAGAUUUAACCGUUUCAAUGACCGUCCAGAAUCGUUAUGCACUUUGGAAAUCCGGUUUUAAAGCUAUUACAAAGGAACUUGAAGUGACUGCUGUUGAGGAAAGUGAACUUUUAAUUAAGUGGCUUGGACCCGAUUCAUCAAAGUUUGGGCAAAGCAUCCGGACAUCAAACUUAAGUGAUCCGUCGAUAGGAUUACGAAAGAUAUGGCAAAGGCUAGAAGAACGUUUUGGUAGCCCGGAAAUGAUAGAAACGUCACUGAAGACAAAGAUCAAUGAAUUUCCUAAAGUAACAUUUAGAGAUGUGAAAACGAUUAUAUGAUUUACAAGACGUUCUUUCGGAAAUAUUGUCUAUUAAAGAGAAUCCUGUAUAUGAGAAGCUUCUAAGUUACUUCGACUCUUCAGUAGGAAUCAACCCGAUAAUGAGUAAAUUGCCACAAUCGCUACAAUAUAAGUGGAGGGAUAAAGCAACAAACUACAAGAAGUCAAAGAAUGUUCCGUUAUCCGCCAUUUUCGUUUUUUGUUGAAUUCAUAUCCGAUCAGGCUAGUAAGUACAAUGACCCAGGAUUCAAAUUUGAAAGUGAUCAAAACAACAAUUCACCACAAGCACGGGAUAAAGAAUCCGGACGUUCAUCUCAGAGACCACGCUUGAGCGCGAGAAACAUAAAUGUUAGUAAGACAGAAAUUGCUACUUCCACAGAGGGUAUUAAACCAAUUAAGCUUAAAUGUGCUAUUCAUAAGACUAAUCAUUCGUUAAAUGAUUGCAGGUCGUUUUUAUCCAAGUCUAUAGAGGACCGUCGUAAGAUAAUUAAGGAAAACGGUAUAUGCUUCAAGUGCAUCAACUCGAAAGAUCACCUCAGUCGCAAUUGUCCUGAAAAUGUUCAAUGUAAGGAGUGUGACAGCUCUACUCAUAGUUCAGGAAUGCAUAUUUACGGACAACAGAAAAUGCAACCUUUGGAACCCCAUGGCGGGGAGCAAUCUGAAGACGCAAGUAAAGUUGUUAAGGCGUGUUGCAUGGACAUAUGUAAUGGUAAAUUUUCUGGAAAGUCAUGUGCGAAAAUACUUCCGGUAUUUGUUUCACAUGAAGAUGAUCCAUCCAAACGCAUCAAGACUUACAUUAUAUUAGACGAACAAAGCAAUAGGUCUUUGGGUAGGAAAGAACUGUUUGAUUCAUUUGACAUUGUAUGUAAACCAGAGGAGUAUACAUUAAUGAGUUGCUCGGGUCGGACAAGAAUGAAUGGUCGACGUGUGUCAGGAUUGUUACUCGAAUCUUUAGAUGGGUCAACAAAAAUGCAAUUGCCAACAGUCAUAGAAUGUAAGGAGAUACCAAAUAAUCGCGAUGAGAUUCCGACUCCAGACGUAGCUAAUUAUCACGAUCAUCUUCGUAGCAUUUCACAUGAACUUGAACCUUUAGAUGAAAAUGCAGAUAUUCUUUUAUUGAUAGGACGAGACCUUCUAGAAGCUCAUCACAUAAUUGAACAACGAAUCGGACCAGCUCAUUCUCCAUAUGCACAAAGAUUAGCUCUGGGUUGGGUUAUAAUCGGAGAUGUUUGUAUUGGAAAUAGACAUGUCACAGACUCUGUCAAGUCUUACAAGACAUACAUUCAAGCAGGUGGACGCCCGUCACUCUUAAAACCGUGUCCAAAUGUAAUCAGUGUACGGGAAUUGCUGAAAACUCAAAACAAACUUGAUAAUAUUGACUUUGAUGAAACAAAAUUGGGAGACGGUGUAUUUGAUCGCACUGAGUUCGAUGACACACCUGGAAAGUCUAUAGAAGACAAAAUAUUUCUUGAUAUAAUGGAGAAGGAUUUCCACAAGAAUGAACAUGGAAAUUGGUGCGCACCUUUACCCUUUAAACCUAAUAGGGAACGAUUACCAAACAAUUUUCCUAUGGCUUUACGUCGUGCUAAAACACUUGAUAGAAGUCUUCAGUCUAAUAAAGAAAAACGUGAACACUUUUUAGAAUUUAUGCACAAUCUUAUACAAAACAAUCAUGCAGAAAUAGCACCAAAACUUGAUGAAGGAGCAGAAUCUUGGUACCUACCUGUCUUUGGUAUCUAUCAUCCAAAGAAACCUGGAAAGAUCCGUUGUGUUUUUGAUUCCUCUGCCAAAUUUGGAGAUGUGUCACUCAACAAUGUAUUGCUACAAGGACCAGAUCUAAAUAAUUCUCUUCUGAGUGUCCUCAUGCGCUUCAGAAAGAAUCGUAUUGCUGCCUCAGCUGACGUUCAGCAGAUGUUCUAUUCGUUUUCUGUUGAUGAGAAGCAUAGAGACUUUCUUCGUUUCCUAUGGCACGAAGACAAUGACCUUGAUAAACAACUAGUAGCCUUUAGAAUGACCGUACACGUAUUCGGGAAUAGCCCCUCGCCAGCGGUUGCAACAUAUGGACUACGAAAGUGCUCAAAUUUGGCUGAACCAGAUGUUAGAGAUUUUAUUCAGAGACACUUUUAUGUUGACGAUGGCCUCAUAUCAUUAGAUAGCAGUCAGGACAUGAUAGAUCUGCUAACACGAACUCAGAAAACCUUAUUGGAGGAAGGAAAUAUACGCCUUCACAAGUUCGCAUCAAAUAGUGAUGAAGUAAUGUCCGCUCUUCCACAUGAAGAUCUUGCUCAAGACUUGAAGAGUAUAGACUUUGAUUCAGAUAGUGUUCCGCUACAGAGGAGUUUAGGGUUGUAUUGGGACCUAGCUACAGACUGUUUUACCUAUCGAAUUUCUGAAGAAAGCAAACCUUUUACACGCCGUGGUGUAUUAUCUACACUUAACAGUUUAUUUGACCCGCUAGGCUUUGUCGCUCCAGUCAUAAUUAAAGGUAAAAUUAUACUGCGUGAGCUUAUGGCGCAAUCUGUUGAUUGGGACGAACCCCUGCCGGAACACAGCAGAUCGGAAUGGGAAACUUGGAGAAAUUCGCUUAGUGCACUUCAGAACAUUACAAUUCCACGCAUGUAUGUAAGUUCUUCAUUAAGUAAAAAACCUACCUUUGAACUUCAUGUCUUUGCUGACGCAUCUGAAAAGGCUAUUGCAGCGGUAUCAUACUUACUACUUACGAACAAUAAAACCUGAUGGCAACUUUGAAACUGGAUUCAUUUUAGGAAAGGCAAAAGUCGCACCUCACCAUGGACACACUAUACCGAGGUUAGAGCUGUGUGCAGCUGUUUUGGCGGUUGACGUAGCAAAGACAGUUGUUGAGAACUUUGAUGAGACUUUCGAUGUUGUUAAGUUUUACACCGACAGCAAGGUGGUCCUGGGAUAUAUUUAUAACCAGACACGUCGCUUUUAUGUUUAUGUGGAACAUAGAAUCGAACGCAUACGUAAGUCAACGGUCCCAGAACAAUGGAAUUACGUUCCAACAUCAGUCAAUCCCGCAGAUCAAGCUACAAGGUCAGUUUCGUCAGAAGAUAUUGGUUCUAGUUGUUGGUUGCAAGGACCAACUAAGUUUCUAAGCGGAGAACUACAAGCUUCUGCAUCUACUGAAACUCUAACGACACUAGUCAAUCCAGAUUUAGAUAAAGAAGUACGACCUAUUGUGACAGUUACAAAGACUACAAUUGAAGACAGUCAUUCUAUUGGAUCUGAACGAUUUCAAAACUUUUCAUCAUGGAAGUCACUGGUAAAUGGAAUAGCCGUUCUACAAAGAUUCAUUCAGUCGAGAUUCAAAAAGGUUACUUUACAAGAUAUCGAUGUAGUUAAGUCGCUCAAUGAGUCAGAAAUAUUUAUAAUUAAGACAAUACAAAGUGAAGUUUAUAGUUCAGAAAUAGACUGCAUAGUAAAUGGACAAAAUCUUAGGAAAAACAGUAGUAUUAUAUCUUUAGAUCCAUUUCUGGAUAGUGAAGGCAUUUUGCGUGUUGGUGGAAGACUCAAUAAAUCAAAUCUGCCAUACCAAGAAAGAAAUCCACUCAUUCUUCCAGGAAAAUGUCAUGUGUCAAAAUUACUAGUGCAACAUUUUCAUGCCCAAGUCAAGCACCAAGGAAGACAUUUUACAGAAGGUGCUAUUCGUGCAGAGGGUUACUGGAUUACAGGCUCGAAACGUCUCGUAUCAUCUGUUAUACACCAUUGCGUCCCGUGUCGUAAACUCAGAGGUUGUUUGGAGGUUCAAAAGAUGGCUGACCUCCCUACAGACAGAAUAGAACCCACUCCGCCAUUUACUAAUGUGGGGGUCGAUGCAUUUGGUCCUUGGUCUGUUAUUCAUCGCAGGACUCGUGGUGGCUGUUCAAAUUCUAAGAGGUGGGCUAUACUUUUUACAUGUCUCACGACACGUGCAAUACAUAUAGAAAUAGUCGAAGAGAUGUCUUCGAGUGCUUUCAUCAAUGCCUUACGCAGAUUCAUUGCAAUCAGAGGAAAAGUGAGUGUUUUUAGAUCAGAUCGCGGUACUAAUUUCAUAGGUGCAGUGGAUCCUUUACACAUCGAGGCAAUUAACGUUGAAGAUGACAAAGUUAAAACAUUUAUGCAUGAAACCAGGACGAUUUGGAUUUUCAACCCUCCCCACUCCUCGCACAUGGGAGGAGCGUGGGAACGAUUAAUAGGCGUAACAAGAAGGAUUUUGGACUCUAUUCUUACAGAUUCAAACACAAAAUUUCUAACUCAUGAUGUUUUAGUUACCUUCAUGGCUGAAGUAGCGAGUAUAGUGAAUCAUAGACCAAUAGUUCCGGUUUCUUCUGACACUUGA
rnacentral:sRNA from 1 species